rnacentral:rRNA from 1 species
AUGAACGCUGGCGGCGUGCUUAACACAUGCCAGUCGCACGGAAAGGCUCCUGCUUGCAGGGGUACUCGAGUGGCGAACGGGUGAGUAACACGUGGGUGAUCUGCCCUGCACUUCGGGAUAAGCCUGGGAAACUGGGUCUAAUACCGGAUAGGACGAUGGUUUGGAUGCCAUUGUGGAAAGUUUUUCGGUGUGGGAUGAGCUGGCGGCCUAUCAGCUUGUUGGUGGGGUAAUGGCCUACCAAGGCGUCGACGGGUAGCCGGCCUGGGAGGGUGUAAGGCCAAAUUGGGAAUGAGAUAAGGCACAGAAUCAUACGGGAGGCAGCAGGGGGGAAUAUUGCACAAAGGGCGCAAGGCUGAUGCAGCGAAGCCGCGGGGGGGAUGACGGCCUUCGGGUUGUAAACUCCUUUCGCUAGGGACGAAGCGUUUUGUGACGGUACCUGGAGAAGAAGCACCGGCUAACUACGUG